GUAGCCAGCCCACAGGCCUACAGCAAGCCACAGGCUCACAGCCAGCAAGCCACAGCCUGCCAGCCGCAGUCAGCAAGCCCACAGCCUGCCAGCCGCAGCCAGCAAGCCCACAGACUGCCAGCCAGCAACAGUAAUUAAGGUAAGAGGAGCCAACUUGGCUUAGGUAUCAGCGAGCUAUGUUGUGUUGCUAUAUUGUGAAUAGGAACCAGAGUGUUG